AUUGAACGCUGGCGGCAGGCUUAACACAUGCAAGUCGAGCGGAGCGGCGGACGGGCGAGUAAUGCCUAGGAAUCUGCCUGGCAGUGGGGGUUAACGUCCGGAUACGGGCGUUAAUCCCGUAACUUUUCAGUUGAGCUUAGGUUGGAUUAGCUAGUUGGGGGGGUAAAGGCCUACCAAGGCGACGAUCCGUAAUUGGUCUGAGAGGAUGAUCAGUCACACUGGAACGGAGACACGGUCCAGACUCCUACGAGAGGCAGCAGUGGUGAAUAUUGGACAAUGGGCGAAAGCCUGAUCCAGCCAUGGCGCGUGUGUGAAGAAGGUCUUCAGAUUGUAAAGCACUUUAAGUUGGGAGGCGUUACCAACAGAAUAAGCACCGGCUAACUUCGUGCCAGCAGCCGCGGUAAUAC
rnacentral:rRNA from 1 species